CGGUAUAAUCAAUAGCAGUGAGUAUGUAUUUAAUUCGAUAUCCGCGAAAACUUACCACAUUUUGAAUAAUUAAUUAUUAAUUAAUUAAUAACAGGCGUUACAUAGUUGUCUUCAGUUCGUGCUGUGAAGUUUAAGGUUAGUUCCAUUAACGAACGAAUCCCUGUAUAAAUAAAUUUUUAUGACAAAAUAUUUAUAAUUUACUAUUUAGAUGCAUAGUAAAAAUAGGAUUAAGACAAAUCAUUAUGACCCUAAUAAUGUGGGCUAUAGACGUACUAUAAAAAAAGAAAAAAAAUUUAAGGAGAUGUAUAAAAAAAGAUCAAAUAAUUAAUAAAACAACUUUUAUGAUGUUAUAUAUUAAUAUAUAAUAUUAAUAUGGAUUAUUUUCUGUAAUUCGGAAAUAUGAAAAAAGAAUUGCUAGUAAUCAGUUAUUAAUCAAAUAACGGUGAAUAUUAUUAAUUGUUUCGCACUAAUUACUCGUCACGCGAUAAGUUUAAAAUAAUUCCAAAAAUAAUUACAUUAAUAUUUAUUUUAUUAAUAUUUAUUAAUAUUUUACCCCUUUUUUUAGAGGUAAAACUAUAAUAUUAUUAAUAUAUUAUUUAAUAAUAAUUU
rnacentral:rRNA from 1 species